GGGGAUGUACUGGUUUCGACGGGGAUAGGUGCGGUAUGAUAAGCGAGCCGUGGUUCCAUCAGCACGUUAAUCGGUGGGACGUUUAAAUAUAAACGCUAACGAAGAUUACGCUUUAGCAGCUUAAUUGCUAACUGCCUUCUGAGCUCCUCCUGCAGGCGAGGAAAGGCAGUCAAUAUGCGGGAUACCUUUCAGCUUAUUCUCGGCGGCCGAUAGGGAAUUUUAUCGAGAUAGCGACCGAGCAGCCCGUCGUCAGGCGGCAAGGAAGCGAAAUUUAGUAUGACGUCUGCGCUCGGAGAAAGUUGUAUGGCAAUAUUUUCGGACAGGGGUUCGACUCCCCUCAUCUCCACCA
rnacentral:tmRNA from 1 species